rnacentral:lncRNA from 1 species
UUUGAAGGGCACAUGUCUGCUUAAGGGUGUCACGCAACCCUAGGUGGAAAAAAAAUUCCCUGCAGCCGUCACAGUUAAAGAAGGAUAGCACAUUCUGCUGGAACAUUUUUGGGGGAGAUUCCUUGAAGCUGCCAAAGGGGGAGAACACUGUUACAUUGGAGGGGAGAGGAUGGAAUGGAUAGAUAAUGGAUAGGUUCCAGUCGUCAAAGGCAUUGAUUUGCGUUGGAGAAGGGAGAUUUAUAUCUCAUUCAGUUAUUCAGCACUUGGCAUUUAAUGAUUGCGUUCAUUUAUAUCUCAUUUAGUGAUUCAGCACUUAGCACAAACGCGUUUUCUCUUUUUUUUUUUUAAUUCAUUCAGUUGCUGUUACAUUUUUUUUCAAUUUCAACUUGAAAAGAGAACGCUGAUUCCG